GAUGAACGCUGGCGGCGUGCCUAAUACAUGCAAGUCGAGCGAACAGACGAGGAGCUUGCUCCUCUGACGUUAGCGGCGGACGGGUGAGUAACACGUGGAUAACCUACCUAUAAGACUGGGAUAACUUCGGGAAACCGGAGCUAAUACCGGAUAAUAUAUUGAACCGCAUGGUUCAAUAGUGAAAGACGGUUUUGCUGUCACUUAUAGAUGGAUCCGCGCCGCAUUAGCUAGUUGGUAAGGUAACGGCUUACCAAGGCGACGAUGCGUAGCCGACCUGAGAGGGUGAUCGGCCAUACUGGAACUGAGACACGGUCCAGACUCCUACGGGAGGCAGCAGUAGGGAAUCUUCCGCAAUGGGCGAAAGCCUGACGGAGCAACGCCGCGUGAGUGAUGAAGGUCAUCGGAUCGUAAAACUCUGUUAUUAGGGAAGAACAAAUGUGUAAGUAACUAUGCACGUCUUGACGGUACCUAAUCAGAAAGCCACGGCUAACUACGUG
rnacentral:rRNA from 1 species